AGCUCCAAUAGCGUAUAUUAAAGCUGUUGCGGUUAAAAAGCUCGUAGUUGGAUCUCUGUUGAGGACAACCGGUCCGCCCUCUGGGUGAGCAUCUGGUUUGGCCUCGGCAUCUUGCUGGGGAAUGCUGCUGCACUUCACUGUGUGGAGUAGUCACCUGCGCCUUUACUUUGAGGAAAUUGGAGUGUUUCAAGCAGGCACAUGCCUUUGGACAUAUUAGCAUGGAAUAAUCAGAUAGAGUCUCUGCUCCAUUUUGUCGGUUUCUGGAGCUGAGGUGAGGAUUAGUAGGGAUUGUUGGGGGCAUCCGAAUUUAGCCGUCAGAGGUGAAAUUCUUGGAUUUGUUAAAGACGGACAACUGCGAAAGCAUUUGCCCAAGAUGUUUUCAUUGAUCAAGAACGAAAGU
rnacentral:rRNA from 1 species